CCUACGGGGGGCUGCAGUAAGGAAUCUUCCACAAUGGGGGCAACCCUGAUGGAGCAACACCGCGUGAAGGAUGAAGGCCCUCGGGUCGUAAACUUCUUUUAUAAGUGAGGAAUAUGACGGUAACUUAUGAAUAAGGGUCGGCUAACUACGUGCCAGCAGCCGCGGUCAUACGUAGGACCCAAGCGUUAUCCGGAGUGACUGGGCGUAAAGAGUUGCGUAGGCGGUCGUAUAAGCGAAUAGUGAAAUCUGGUGGCUCAACCAUCAACCCAUUGUUCGAACUGUACGACUCGAGAAUGGUAGAGGUAACUGGAAUUUCGUGUGUAGGAGUGAAAUCCGUAGAUAUACGAAGGAACACCAAUGGCGUAGGCAGGUUACUGGACCAUUUCUGACGCUGAGGCACGAAAGCGUGGGGAGCGAACCGGCUUAGAUACCCCGGUAGUC
rnacentral:rRNA from 1 species